rnacentral:rRNA from 1 species
UACAGAGGGGGGCAAGCGUUAUUCGGAAUUAUUGGGCGUAAAGGCGCGUAGGCGGCCUGACAAGUGGAAGGUGAAAUCCCUCGGCUUAACCGAGGAACUGCCCUCCAAACUGUUUGGCUUGAGACCGGGAGAGGGUAGUGGAAUUCCUGGUGUAGAGGUGAAAUUCGUAGAUAUCAGGAGGAACACCGGUGGCGAAGGCGGCUACCUGGACGGUUACUGACGCUGAGACGCGAAAGCGUGGGAG